UGUGUGCCAUGUUCAUUUUAUAUCAUUCAUGCGGUAUCAAGUCAAACACCUUAUAGAAAUCUAGGUAUAUUAUAUCAACACUAGGACCUUUAUAAACCAAACUUGUAAUCUCAUCAGAAAAAGGAUAAGUUAGUUUGGUAGGAUCUAUUUUCCAUAAACCCAUGUCAAUUUGCAUUCAUUAAUAAAGAACUAAAGGAGGGUCAUGUAACCAAGUCCUGUAUCAGCAGCUCCAUUAUCUUGCCCAGAAUUGAUGUCAGGCUAACAGGCCUAUAAUUACCCUAGUUAUCCCAUUUGCCCUUUUAAAAAGUUGACACAAUAUUAGUUUUCUUCCAGUCUUCUGGAACUUCCUCAGUUCUCCAAGACUUAUUGAAGAUCAACAUUAAUGGCCCAGUGAGCUACUCAGCCAGCUCUUUUAAAACUCUUGUAUGCAAGUUAUCUGGACUUGCUGACUUAAAAAUGUCUACCUUUAGUAACUUCUGUUUAACAUCCUCCACAGAUACUAGGGGACUGGAAAGAGUGUUAUCAGCACCAUAUGAUGAGAGUAUAUCAUCAGUGUUUUUCCCAAAUACUGAAUAAAUAUAUUUAUUGAACACUUCUGGUUUUUCUGAAUUAUUAUUGAGAAUUCUCCCAUUUCCAACUAGUAACAGACCAAUACCAUUCUCAGGAUCCUUUUUGUUCCUAAUAUAUUUUACAAACUCCUUCUUAUUGUCUGGCCACAGGUUUCUCCUUGGAUCCUUUUGCUUCCCUUAUCCAUUUUUUUCUAUAAUUCCUAAUUUCUUUUAUUCAUUACUAUCAACUUCCCGCUUCUUCCAUUUGUUAUUGUUGCGGGUCGGUUACCCCGCUCCUAGGGGAAAAGGGUAGGCUGAUUGGGGAGGCGGCCACAGCUGUGGCCACACCCAAUCAGGCCACAGCUGGCCCUGAUAUAAGGGCUAAGGGAGGCACUGGGUCAGUCUUACUCCAGCCUUUGAGUGGGAAGGACCUAGCUGUGUGAAGGUGCACUAGCUCACGUCUUUCCUUCCUCCUGCUCGCUCCCCCAUCUUGAUUUUUUCCAAGACGCCAUCCCUGCUGUAUAAACAAAAGCUAUUGUAGCCAUGGUUAAUAAUCCCCAAAUAAAGCACAAGCAAGGGAGAGAGGAAGGAGUGAGGAACACACAAACUAUUGGCUGGGAUCCGAGCCCAGAAAGGGGAGCGAUGUGAACUGGUUCAGAGACUCAGCAGGACUUGGAUGUUCCAGGAGUGGGGCAGGUGUCUGAGUUACCCCAGGAUCAAAUGAAUGAAGGUAGAGGUCUAGAUCCUCAGUUGGUGUAAGUCCCUAUAGUCAGAGGAGUGACAUGCAUUUACACCAGCUGAGAGUCUGGCCCAGAGAAUGAAUUCCCCUUUCUCCACUGGUGAAGGGUGUGAGGGUGUCUCUCCCCACUCUGUGGUGUAGGUUUCUGACUCGGUGAUGGCACAACUUGCAGGACACCCAGUUGCUCCAAUAGGCCCAAAAGCUGCACAAGGGGACCCCAUAUUUUGGUGACUUUAGGGCCCUCAUCCCAGGAUGACACAGCAGGCCUGAUCUUAGUUACACCACGGCCUUUUUGUGUACCUCUCCACAGGAGAUCUCCCCAGCCACUGCUUAAGGAUCCCUGGUGCAGGGAGCAUGGCCCAAGUGCACUGCACUGCUCCUAUUUGCUGUUUCCUAUGGUGUCUGGGAAGCAGAGUGUGCUAGAGGGGCCCCGAGGUUGCUCCAAGUUACACAUGGGCCCAGCCCUGCCCCAGAAUACAGAGUGCAAAGGUGGGUUAAAGUCUCCUUAGCUCCCCACAAUCCCCGCUGGCAGCAGUGGAGUAAAUAAGAAUCGGACCUGGUGCUUUCAUGCCACAGUGCCGGGUGGAAGCUGGAGACAGGCUAGCACACCAUCUGGGGAGGAACAGGACUAGGCCCCCGGCACUUCAGAGGGACCAAAUUCCUCUUGUGUCCCAGGAGAUGGCAACUCUUCCCCCUCCCAUGGCAGAAGCGUGUGAAGAGGUCCAAGAUUGAACAGUGUCCAGAUUCCUCCUAUAACAUCUGCCUCUCGUCAGCUGUGAGAUCUGGGCAGGAAGCGAGUCUUGCUGAAUAAUUCAUCACGCUGACCUCAUAACUCCUAAAGAGCAGCAUGAACCUCAGAUGGAAGAAAGCUGGUGGGUCUGACCCUCCCCAGCUGAUCUGCCUGUUUUUAGCAGGGGACAGUGUGACACAUGGCUAGAAAGGGUUAAACAUCCUGCAAAAUAAAUAUCCCUCAAGAUGUGUAGGGAGAUAAUGUUUGUGGUUUUAUGUCUUUACAUAUGUAUGAGGAGGAUCAACAAUGUAAUCAACAGUCCUUGUCUAUGCUGUAUUCUGAUAAUUCAGAGGUCAAAAGCAUUUAAAUCAAUUGUAAACAUCUCUUUGAAAUGUUCUGUGAAUGGCAGAGGAACAAGCAAAUGGCCUUGUGUUGAUUCUAUAGUUAAGUAUCCUGAUGGACCUCCUUCAAAGUCAUCCAAAUUACUUUCUGUUCCCUGAGAAACUCCAGCUUGUCAAGACAUGAAAUUGUAUAAAAGAUCCUUGGAUCCUGAUUCUGUCAUCUCAGAUCUGCCUAACCUUCGUCAGGGGAGUUUGAGUUACAAGACUGAGGUCCAGUUGUGCUGGUACGCCCUGAAUAUGAGAUUUGGACAUUGGACUAUGACCUGUGGACUAUUUCUGAAAACACUUUGCAACUACAAAGCUCACCAUUUCUGCUGUGAAUCUGCACCUCAAUGAAUUGAACUCAUGUCUGCCUGAGGCUGGAUCACUUUAAGGGAACUGUGUUUGGACUUCUGAGGAACCGGUAAGAUUGGCAAGCCUAAAAGUUCUUGUCCUGGAUCAAGCUCUACAGAAUUUACAAAGGACCAUCAAGGGUAUGACAGGAAGCUCACACAGACAGAAAUAGCUAUAAAGGCUUUUAUUACUAUCAAUGAACUAGGGCAAGGAUUUGCCUGUGGAGGGUUUCUCCAAAUGCUGGUAUGAGGAAGAUAGCUGUAAAUCCACUAGGACCCUGGUCACAGACAGAAACACCGCUUCCAGGCUAGCCUUGAUCUUCCCCCAGCUGCAGUACACAACUCUGCGCAACAAGCGUCAGUUUCACUGUGCAGAUCUUCACAGAGAGAGAAGUGUAAUUACCAGCUCUGAGGCUACGCCUGCUAAUCAGGAAGGUCAGAUAACACCAAGGUAUCCAGGCCCAUGAAUCUCCAGCUGUGGACAAUGUUAGCUGAACCUUGAGUCCAGUCUGCUGCCUGAGUCACUGCUUUCCCACCUGGUGUUUGCUUGAUGGAUGGGGCACCAGAACUGGACACAGGAUUCUAGCAGCAGUGGCACCAGUGCCAAAUAAAGAGUGUCUCCCGAGCAUAUCCCAGCACAGCUCCAGUGGCCACUGACCUCAGCGAGAGCAGGAUUGGACCUAGGAGUCUGGCUUGAAUGUGCCAUCCCCAGCUGUCUAAGCAGGUCCAAAAGGCCCGCCCCUUCUCCGCAGCUUUGUCUGUUUGGGGCUCCAGGCAAAUCCAUUAAACAAGCAAAUAAAACAGAAGGAGCGAGAUAAGGGGAGAGGGAGCAAAGACCAAGAGACUCAGAGCGUUCUGGUCUCCAGUGAGAAGCAUCCUCCUCUGCCUGUGUUGGGACCCUGCAUGCGCCCCUGGUCUUUCCCAGGAACCCAGCAGGAUUUCAUCCUGCCCCAGGGCUGUGGGGUGUGCCAGUUACAUAGCCCCUGGCCUGGAGAUGUAGAAGGAAGGGCUCCUGGUGGUUUAAGAGGGGUUCAGCCAGUUGGUGUUAUGCUGUCUCUGGACAGGCAGCAGUUUUCCAGGGUUUCAUCCCAGAAUCUGGAGAUGCCUUCUCCCUGGGCCUUGUCUGGGUUGUGCCACAGCUGACACCAUUGGCCAGCCAGAGUGCCUGUGCUCAGCCAAGACCUUCACUGCUACACCACCUGCCCCUGCCUUGGAUUGUUGCAGUGCCCUGUUGUCUCUCUUGAGGCUCAGCCAAGCAUGCAAACAAUGGGGAUGGGGGGAAUCCUGCCCCGGAGCAGUGUAUUCCUCUGGGAUUCCAAGGUACACGCGCUGGCUUCAGCCACAGACAAAGCAGAACCCUGCCACCAUCCACCAGCACCAAUGAUUUCAUCUCUCCUGCAACUGGCCCUUGGUCAAUAUAACUGAGCUGGUAAUCAGCCUUCUGGAAGCCCAGUCUGUCUGCACAGCAGAGAGCACCAUCUGUCUGUCUGGGAAGGGGGAGGUGGAUGUGACCAAAACACUGCCUUCAGCCACUGGCUGUUUCAGACACCUCCUUUGUGUGUGGAGGGGUGUGUGUGUGGGCACCUAGUUGUGCAAUAUUUGCAUGGCAUGUGUGUGGGGAGGAAUUUGUGGGUGCAUGUUUCUAUGAGGGUGUGUGUGUGUGUGUAUAUAUAUAUACACACACAUUUGUGUGUUUGCAAUUGUGUGUGUCUGUGUGCUUGUACAUAUAUCUGAGAGUGUUUAUUUGUGCAGGCAUACUUGUGUGUGUGUGGGGGGCAUUCGUGUGCGUGCUUGUUUGCGUACCUGUAAUGCAAGCAGAUGGGUGGACACAAUACCUGGCUGCACCUUGUUUUUUGAUUGAGUAUAUACUUUGGAGGGUGUCUGAAGUGCAUGACCUGAACAGUACUUGUAUGUAAUGUUUGCAGCUGCCUCCCCCCAGGUGUCAGAUAAAUUCUCUUCCACUUG